rnacentral:rRNA from 1 species
UACGUAGGGCGCGAGCGUUUGUCCGGAAUCAUUGGGCGUAAAGAGCUCGUAGGCGGCCUGUCGCGUCUGCUGUGAAAUCCCGGGGCUUAACCCCGGGCGUGCAGUGGAUACGGGGCUGGCUGGAGGCAGGCAGGGGAGAACGGAAUUCCCGGUGUAGCGGUGAAAUGCGUAGAGAUCUGGAAGAACACCAAGGCGAAGGCAGCGUUCUGGGGAAGCAACUGACGCUCAUGUGCGAAAGCCAGGGGGAGCGAACGGG